AGAGAUCUGAGGCACAACACUUACGCGGCCGCGCGCUCGCCUGGGGUUCCCUGGUUGUUGCUAAGGCAACUGCAGGCCCCGCCCCUGACCUUGAUCCCGCCCUGCGCGCUGCUGAUUGGCGGUAUCUGUUAUUGGAGGUCAGCCUCUAUGUGGUGAAGACAGUGAAGCAGCCAACUGAGAGACACAAAUGAGGAUGAACAAGGGUGUCCUGUCAACAACCAUAACUAUCUGAGCAACCCAUCCGGGAAGCAGAUUUUCCAGCCCUAAUCAAGUCUUUGGAUGACUAUAGCCCUAGGCAACACUUUAAUCAUAUCUUCCUGAGAGACCCUGAACCACCAGCUAAGCCAGACUCCUGACUUACAAAAACUGUGUGAGAUAAUAAAUAUUUGUUGUUUUAAGCCACUAAGUUUUGGGAGUGAUUUUCAUGCAGCAGUGGAUAACUAAUAUAAAUAUGUAAUAAAUUUGGGACAGUGCCUUGUGUAUAAAAAACACUGUAAAUGUUAAGUUUGCUAUUCAUGGUUUUUAUUAAUAUUGUUACUGGAAUGGCAUCAUGUACAUCUUCUUUUUAUAAGAAACACAUUGCAUUUAUCCAUUUA